rnacentral:rRNA from 1 species
UCAAGAAACUUCCACAAUGGGCGAAAGCCUGAUGGAGCGACGUCGCGUGAUGGACGAAGUGCUUCGGCACGUAAACAUCUUUUAUGUGGGAUGAAAUUAUUGACAGUACCACAUGAAUAAGGGGCUCCUAACUCUGUGCCAGCAGGAGCGGUAAUACAGAGGCCCCAAGCGUUAUCCGGAAUCACUGGGCGUAAAGGGUGUCGAGGCGGUUGUAUUAGUCGUUCGUAAAAUCUACGAGCUUAACUUGUAGGCGGCGAACGAAACGGUACGACUUGAGGUUUGGAGAGGUGCGUGGAACUCACGGUGUAGGGGUGAAAUCCGUUGAUAUCGUGGGGAACACCAAAGGCGAAGGCAGCGCACUGGCCAAAAUCUGACGCUCACACACGAAAGCUAGGGUAGCGAAGAGGAUUAGAUACCCUGGUAGUCCCUGAGCGGGC